rnacentral:tRNA from 1 species
CGGGGCGUGGCGCAGGCUGGUAGCGCACCUGCUUUGGGAGCAGGGGGUCGGAGGUUCAAAUCCUCUCGCCCCGACCA